rnacentral:rRNA from 1 species
GAGACUAGUAUGAAAGGCUAAACGAGGGCUUACCUGUCUCUUACGACUGGUCAAUGAAACUGAUCUACCAGUACAAAAGCUGGAAUUUUUACAUAAGACGAGAAGACCCUGUGGAGCUUAAAAAUCAAAACAUUAUAAUGUUUGCUGACUUUUUAGUUGGGGCGACUUUGGAGUACAAAAAAACCUCCAAAAUCACUUAACCUGACGAGAAAAAUACAUCAAAUCAGGUAAUAAAGACCCAUGGGUUACUUAUAACCUGUGAUCAAUAAACCAAGUUACCCCAGGGAUAACAGCGCUAUCCCCUUCAAGAGUCCUUAUCGACAAGGGGGUUUACGACCUCGAUGUUGGAUCAGGACACCCAAAUAGUGCAGCCGCUAUUAAAGGUUUGUUUGUUCAACAAUUAAAGUCCUACGUGAUCUGAGUUCAGACCGGAG